rnacentral:rRNA from 1 species
UCYGGUUGAUCCUGCCRGACCCGACUGCUAUCAGAGUGAGAUUAAGCCAUGCGAGUUAACGUAGCAAUACGUGGCGCACGGCUCAGUAACACGUAGUCAACAUGCCCAGAGGACGUGGAUAACCUCGGGAAACUGAGUCUAAACCGCGAUAAGUGAGGAUUUCUGGAAUGGUUCCUGACUAAAAUCUAUAUGGCCUCUGGAUUGGACUGCGGCCGAUCAGGCUGUUGGUGAGGUAAUGGCCCACCAAACCUGUAACCGGUACGGGCUCUGAGAGGAGGAGCCCGGAGAUGGGCACUGAGACAAGGGCCCAGGCCCUAUGGGGCGCAGCAGGCGCGAAACCUCUGCAAUAGGCGAAAGCCUGACAGGGUUACUCUGAGUGACUUUCGCUAAGAAAGUCUUUUGGCACCUCUAAAAAGGGUGCAGAAUAAGGGGUGGGCAAGUCUGGUGUCAGCCGCCGCGGUAAUACCAGCACCCCGAGUGGUCGGGACGAUUAUUGGGCCUAAGGCAUCCGUAGCCGGUUCUGCAAGUCCCCCGUUAAAUCCAGCUGCUCAACAGAUGGGCCGCGGAGGAUACUACAGAGCUAGGAGGCAGGAGAGGCAAGCGGUACUCAGUGGGUAGGGGUAAAAUCCGUUGAUCCAUUGAAGACCACCAGUGGCGAAGGCGGCUUGCCAGAAUGCGCUCGACGGUGAGGGAUGAAAGCUGGGGGAGCAAACCGGAUUAGAUACCCGGGUAGUCCCAGCCGUAAACGAUGCAGACUCGGUGAUGGGUUGGCUUCGCGCUAACCCAGUGCCGCAGGGAAGCCGUUAAGUCUGCCGCCUGGGUAGUACGGUCGCAAGACUGAAACUUAAAGGAAUUGGCGGGGGAGCACCACAAGGGGUGAAGCCUGCGGUUCAAUUGGABUCAACGCCGGR